rnacentral:rRNA from 1 species
UACAGAGGUCUCAAGCGUUGUUCGGAUUCAUUGGGCGUAAAGGGUGCGUAGGCGGCGCGGUAAGUCGGGUGUGAAAUCUCGGAGCUUAACUCCGAAACUGCAUUCGAUACUGCCGGGCUCGAGUCCGGAAGAGGCGAGUGGAAUUCCCGGUGUAGCGGUGAAAUGCGCAGAUAUCGGGAGGAACACCAAUGGCGAAGGCAGCUCGCUGGGACGUGACUGACGCUGAGACGCGAAAGCGUGGGGAGCAAACAGG